GCCUUCCUAGCUCAGUUGGUAGAGCAUCAGACUUUUAAUCUGAGGGUCGUGGGUUCGAGUCCCACGGAGGGCG
rfam:Brugia pahangi genome assembly, scaffold: BPAG_scaffold0000349